rnacentral:rRNA from 1 species
GACGAACGCUGGUGGCGUGCUUAACACAUGCAAGUCGAACGGGAUUUAGUAAACAGACGCCUCGGUGGAAGAUUACUAAUGAGAGUGGCGAACGGGUGAGUAACGCGUGAGCAACCUGCCUAUGACAGUGGGAUAGCCUCGGGAAACCGGGAUUAAUACCGCAUAAAAUCGUAGAAACACAUGUUUUAACGGUCAAAGAUUUAUCGGUCAUAGAUGGGCUCGCGUCUGAUUAGCUAGUUGGUGAGAUAACAGCCCACCAAGGCGACGAUCAGUAGCCGGUCAGAGAGAGAGAACGGCAACUGUGGACGUGAGACACGGACAAAACCCCCCGGGGGGGAGGCGGGGGGAAAUAUGGCAAAAGGGGGAAACCCCGGAUGCAGCGCCGCCGGGGGAAGAAAAAGGUUUUUCGUAUGAAAAAUUUUUUUCCUAGGGGAAGAAAAUGACAUAACAAAAGAAAAAAGCCCCGGCUAAAUACGUG